rnacentral:misc_RNA from 1 species
GAUGAAGAACGCAGCGAGAUGCGAUAAGUAAUGUGAAUUGCAGAAUUCAGUGAAUCAUCGAAUCUUUGAACGCACAUUGCGCCCCCUGGUAUUCCGGGGGGCAUGCCUGUUCGAGCGUCAUUUCACCACUCAAGCCUCGCUUGGUAUUGGGCAACGCGGUCCGCCGCGUGCCUCAAAUCGACCGGCUGGGUCUUCUGUCCCCUAAGCGUUGUGGAAACUAUUCGCUAAAGGGUGUUCGGGAGGCUACGCCGUAAAACAACCCCAUUUCUAAGGUUGACCUCGGAUCAGGUAGGGAUACCCGCUGAACUUAAGCAUAUCAAUAAGCGGAGGA